UACGUAGGGUGCGAGCGUUGUCCGGAAUCAUUGGGCGUAAAGAGCGUGUAGGCGGUUCGAUAAGUCCGUUGUGAAAGUCCAGGGCUCAACCCUGGGAUGCCGGCGGAUACUGUCGAACUAGAGUCCGGAAGAGGCAAGUGGAAUUCCCGGUGUAGCGGUGAAAUGCGCAGAUAUCGGGAGGAACACCAACGGCGAAGGCAGCUUGCUGGGACGGUACUGACGCUGAGACGCGAAAGCGUGGGGAGCAAACAGG
rnacentral:rRNA from 1 species